UUUGCUAGGUUACCUGCCUGAUUUAUCAGGCAAGGGCUGGUGAUUAUUUAAUCACCGGCCU
rfam:Pseudoalteromonas ulvae strain TC14 Contig_69, whole genome shotgun sequence.